AUCAAGGCUCACAAAAUAAUUAUGAGUCAACUAUAUAAAUCUCUUGGAUCUAAAUUGCUUGUCAAAAUUUGCAGAGAAGAGAAGGAAUAGUUAUUUCAUCAGGAAAGUUUCCAACUGUCCUCAAAGGCUUCCAAUAAUCCAUCAUGCUACUGGUAUCAAUCUUCCCUAGCAAUAGAGUAUUGGAAGACUUGUGGACCGUUGAAGACACAUUUCUUUCAUCGAGGUAAAUCGGGUCGAGCUAUCUAUCUAGAUUACAAAAGGUACGUAAAAAGACGAAAUCGAAUGUAUAGCAACAAUAACUACUAUAGAUAAGAUUUUUACUUCAUUUUGUGUACCAUAAAGAUAAUUAUUUUCUUGAUGUAUCAAAAUCAAGAGGUUAUGCAAUUUUCUUCUAAUUUCCCCUGUUGAUUUAUGUUAAAAUUACUUCAAAUUAUAGGGUUUUGAUCGUUUUCAUCGAUCUAGACAAAAUUUAUAAUGUUUUCUAUCCUCUACUGGGUGCGGCAAAUUAAUUAAUUCUAAGUCAAGGGCUCAAACUAGGGUUUAUAAAUGAUUUUCAGGCUGAGCGUAGAUUGAAAAAAUCUGGUGUAAUUAAUAUGUGAUACGUGGAUUUUUCUUCUCUUCUCUCCUCUUCUCUCUCUCUGAAAAUUUUGAUACGUAAAUUGGACAUUUAAAGAUUAGGAUUUAAAGAAAUAGAGAUUUUUCGAAUUAUGUUCUCUUCCCUCAUAAAUCAGGUCGAAUCCGAUAAAAAGUUACAUAAAGAGAACUCUGAAAAAUAAAUAAAUUGUACUCUACCAAGUCAAUUUAUGAGAAUUUCUUUUAAACUUCGAAUUACUGCAAUUAGGGUUUCACGCGUAGUAGAAAUCUUGACUAUUUCUACAGCCAUGUUACAACUAAUUAAGCAUUGAACUGUUGGAGUUUUAUUAUUAGUAUUAUUUAUUAUUUUUUUUUGGGGAAAUCUGCUGUAAUUUCUUUGGUAUAUAGUAAGCAUCGUUUGUAUUUGUGAAUCAUUCAUUAAAAAAAAAAGAAAAGAAAAGAAAAGAAAGAAAGUAAUACAUCUGACAUUUGGUCUAAUGUCCAGUCCAAUCUAAUACUAAACUUAUAAAUAGGUAUGUAAAAUAUGUAUCUGAAAUGUAUAAAAUAUGAUUUUAUGUUUUGAAAGUUUUUAUAAAUUCUAAAAGGUAUAAUAAUUAAUUAAAGUAAAAAUCUCUAUCCUUCCAGACUUGUGUAUUCUGGUCGAUGAAAACCUUAGACAUUCAUCGAAUUCGGCAAAACUCAUAUUUCUUGUUUCUAAUUAGUAUUAACCACAGGUACAUGAUAGAUUAGUUUCAAACACAAAAGCAUCAAGUUAACAACUUUGUAGUAAAUUUAAAAAAAUUAUUCACCAAAUUUAUUAUUAGUCAAUAAUUAAUAAAGUUCUUACAUAUAAACUAUAUGUAUUCCACAAGAAAAAUAGACUAGCAUAUACUCCUCUUCUUUAAUUUCGUGUUGCAUGCUCUUUCGAGAAUAAUAUUACAUUUCUUUCAGGAGUUUAUACAAGUUUAUUUAUCUUCUGUUUGGUGGAAAUUUUUUGAGAAUAAAUUUGUUAAAAUUGAAUUUAUUUUUUAUUUUUUGGAGGAUUUUAUUUUUUGGAGGAUUUAUAACAUACACAGCCCUUGAGUGUCUUGUGCAGACAGAAAACCUAGCUCAAGCCACGUCACAAGUACGAGCUGGAUGCAUAGUAAUUGGUCUCCUGCUUCAAGCUUAGUCAUAGUACUUUUCUCUUGGAAGUUUGGAAUAAAACUAAAGUGAAAUUUCUUUGUUAUCUUCUCUCAGUUCCUAACUUCCUAUGGAGGUUAUGAGAAACUUAUAAAUUAUAAUAGUUUGAUUAUAUUAAUGACAAGUUCAGCAAGAUUUUGAUCCCAACUUCCAAGAGGUUAUGAGAAACUUAUAAAUUAUAAUAGUUUGAUUAUAUUAAUGACAAGUUCAACAAGGUUUUGAUCCCAACUUCCAAGAGGUUGGAAAGAGCAAGGUCUAAACAAGUGCUACAUAUACUUUCACAAAGAGAGAGACAACCCUUCUCUCUCCCUUUAUUGCAGAAAACUCGUCUCUGAAUUAGCUACGCCAUGUCUAGCAAAUAUAACAAUCCCCAGCCCCUCAAUCGGACAACAUUAGUAAUCUAAAUCUCCAUCAAGGUCCAACUCUUUUAGUUUGUGCCAGUGCCACCGCCUUAUGUGGGCACAAUUUCCUGUGGACUUUCUUAGCAAUCAGAAAGAGAGUGGGCUGGAGCAAACCCUCCCAUUUCUUCCAUUUUGUGCACUCUUAUUUGCAGAAAGUUGGCAUUCUCUGAACUCUCUCCCUCAGUGGCCCUUUCAUGACUUUAGGUUGAAGGAGGAGCCUUUAAGGUGUGAGGGUUCAGAAAUUGCCAGCCUUCUUACCAGUUUCAACAGUUCAUUAAUAAGCCGCGUGCAGAUAUAUAUACAAAAUUAGUAAGUAUUAAUUUGUUUUAGAAAAUUUUAAACUCUAACUUACAUGCUCUAUCUCAAUGACAGAAUCCGAAAAAUAGCCUUUUGUUUUUCUUUGAAAAGUUAUAAUUGAAAAUAUUGUUCUCUGGAUUUCUUCGUCUCUUUUUUCACUUCUAAAGAAUUGGAUUUUGUUAUGUUUUGUACAAAAUAAGAACCCUAGCUACCUUGCAUGACCUCACUACCAAUGCCAGAUGUAAUAUGCUUAAUUGAAAUUUUGUCCAAUUCCUUCCACACAAACAAUAAAACAGUACUACUACAACCCUCUUUAUGUGCUACUGUGCAAGUUGAACAAUGUUUUGGUUUAUGGAACUUCGAAGGAUAUUUAGUGUCAACGGGCUUCAUGUUUUUUCAUCCUUUUUCUCAUAUCGGUUGACAAGAAGAUGAUUUGAACCAUCAGAAUCCCUUUUCUAUUAGGAGAAGUUCUUUUUCAACGUGCAUUACUCUUUUUUGCCAAUAUAGCAUCUACUUGAAUAGGGGGCAUUUGAAAUUCUAUUUUCCUGAUAUGUAUGGUUAUUGUUUGCCCACAACUCACGACUAUGUGGCGUGCAAUGAUCGUGUUCGAGUUCUGGAUCAUUAAUUUGCAUAGCUCGGAAAAAACUAAUUCAAUCCGGGCAGCUCUAAUUUCCAUUGUUCAAUCGGAUAAGGAAUUGCUAGGCUUUUUACACCCAAAUUAGAUUAGAUUUUUUGGGGAAAAUACAUUUUCCUUUGUUACACGAACUUUCAUUGAAAAAAACAUUAUUUCCUUAAUUUCAUGCAUUUUUAUUGAAAAAAUAUUGUUUCUUUUAAUCUACUUUAUUUUUUUAUCUUGUUUUCAUAUUUGUGGUAUUUCUAUGGUUUGGCAUUCUUUCUAUAAAUACUAGACACUUUUCACAAAUUUUAUAAUGCUAAAAUACAGAAUAAUUGUGUAGACACAAUCAUUAUAUUUGUUUUCUCGAUAUUCAUCAAUUGAAUAAUUAAAAUACUCAAUUCUUCUACCAAUUAAUUCUUUGCAUUUUAUUUUGUUAUUUGUUUGUGAUUAUAUAUUUCAUAUCGUAUCAUAUAUAUUACCUCGAUUCAUUUAUUUUCCAACAAAUGGUAUCAGGGCUAUUGAUUGUGAUUUGUUCGAUGUUUUUUUAUUGAUAGCAAUCAUGAAGUAUGAAAUUUCGUUCUUGGAUCACAAUACAAGAUUCUUAUUGUGACAAGUGAAAAUGCAAGCUGUAUUCGCACAAAUGAAUUUGAAUGAUUUAUUGUUGAAAUUUGACAAAAUGCCCACAACUUGGAUGACAGAAGAGAAAUAAUAGAAGGAUCAAAAGACACUUUUAUAGAUCUAUCUUCAUCUUUCUAACAAUAUUAUUUAGGAAAUUUUGAAGGAAAAAACGAUAGUUGCUUUGUGGUUGAAGUUUGAGCAAUUGUGCAUGGCUAAAAGCCUAACAAGGAAAUUGCAUCUGAAGUCGAGGUUGUAUUCUCGUUGCAUGAUAGAAGGCGGAUCUUUGGAAAAUCAUCUAGCUGCGCUGAAGAAGAUCAUCGCUGAUUUGAAAACUUUAAAGAUAAAGUAUGAUGAAAAAGAUUUGGCCUUAAUCAUUUUGUGUUCGCUGCUUCCUUCGUUUACUUCAUUUAGAGACAGAUCUUGUAUAGCCGUGAUAUUGUCACCAGUGAAGAUACGUAUGAUUCAUUGUUUUCAAAAGAGAGAUGAAGCAUCUGCUUGGAUUCGAGGCUAGAGAUGGAGAAAGCCUUGUUGUUCAUGAUGAUCGAGGAGAAGGGAUAAGUCAAAAUCAAAUUUCAGUAAUCAUGUUUGUUAUUAUUGCAAGAAAAAAAUGACACAUUAAGAGAGAUUGCGACAAAUUGCAAAAUAAAGGUAAUUUAACUGCAAAUUAUAGAAAGCAAUCAAACACUUCAAACGAGACCAACAUAGUCGAGUACUAUUUGAGUGAUGGAGAUAUUUUGACAAUUUCUAACAUGUAAUCCAAACCUGACGAGGAGUGAAUUUUGGAUACAACUUGUGCAUUCCAUACGAGUCCCAAACAAACAUAUGAAACGGUGAUGCAAUGUAUCGUUGUCUUGGGUAACAACAAACCUUGUAAGGUAGCUGGUAGUGGUAGAGUCAAAUUGAAGCUGGUGGAUGGAGCAUGUAGAACACUUGCUCAUGUUCGACAUAUUCCAAACUUAAAGAAAAAUAUCAUUUCGUUGAAUACUUUUGAUUCAAAAGGGUACAUUCUCUGGAAGAGGUGGAGUCUUGAGAGUUUGAAAGGGUGUUCAUGUUAUAUUGGAGAGGCAGAAAAUGUCCCAAUUAUACAUCUUGCAAGGUAGGAUAGAAUUUGUGAAGAAAAGUCAGUGCAGAUUUAUUACCAUGGUGGAGAUUCAGUUUGAUACUGUACCUUUGGAAUUUGGUUCAGGAUUCAUAUUGAAGAGUACUACUCAAUUGAGUUUGAAGGGUAUGGGUAAUUCUGCUUUUCCACCAUUACCUAUGGUUCCAUCGUAUUCAACUGCUAAUGAUAGACUCAUUAGAGAUAGGUACGUGGAUGCUGAUUUGGUUGUACAUGCUUUUAGUAUUUUUGAAGGUGUUGAGACUAACCAGUGGUUUUCUGGAAUUGAUUCUGCUAUAUAGUGUGCUUCGAUACUGGUUGGUAAUUUCUAAUUCUUUUUUAAUUUUGAGAAACACGGUGUUUAGGUUCAUGUAUAAGUGUUGGAUACUGUGGAAGAGGAGGAAUAUUUUUGUGUUGGAGAAAAUUUGGUUUUUGUUGAAGAAUUCGAAUAUUUCGUUGCAGUCGAAUUUAUUUUUUCAGGUGGAGAAAUUUUGGAGUUUCGUUUGUUGUAUCAAAAUACGGAUCAAGGUGGAGAUUAUUGGUUUUUUUUUAAUACCCA
rnacentral:lncRNA from 1 species